ensembl:lncRNA
CUUGGAUAAUCAUAUUUCACUAAACUGGUACGCAAGGAGUCUUCAGCCCAUCUGACAGCUUUAUUCUUGUGUAAAAAAGGAAGAUUUUGUGUGAAGCAGGGUUAAGCCGUGAAGACAGGAAUUUCAAAAGCUUGGGCAUUAGCAGAACAUGACAGACCUGACCUGAGAUGCAGGGCCUCUUUGUGUGCUUCCUUCAGUGCUCCUUGCUUUCUGCAUAUCACUCAUUUGUGACGGCAGGUAAGGGCUGUUCAGCUCUUAGAGUGGCAAUGGUGUCUGUUUUGGAUGUGUCUGCGCUGUGCAGCGCUUGCACUGGAAUGUGCACGCAGAGAGUGCAGACAUUGCACCUGGCACAAACCAGUGGUGUUUAAGCAGCUGCAGCUUCAGUAAGGGUUUUUUUUUUGUGAACUUUGUGUCCAGCACUUGCUGCUUGUGCUUCUGGUUCAUGCACAGCAAUAGUUAGCGUUUGGAUUUAAAGCGCUCUGUGAAGAUAUUUGUGUUUGCAAGAGAAUUCAUUUUUUAAGAAAAUAUUAUAAAUAGUGUUACAUUUUGAGCUGAUGUAUUUACGACAGUGUCUGAACUUUUGCCCUAAAAUAUACAGGCACGGGAAAGUGAUUCUAUUGCUAGAAAUCUAAUGUUAUUGCCUGGUCUGCAUUAGACAAAAGGCAUUGCAUGAGGCUCCUGGAUAGCUCUUUUUAAAUGUGUAUUACCUGAAAUUCUAAUUUCAUCUUGCCGUUCACGUUGUCCCGUGCAGGUCUGGCAACUCUCCCCCAUUAGAUGCUGGAAGGGCUGUCCAUCAGAUGGCUGAGAGCUGAAGCAAUGUUUCUACAUCAUUGCAACCAAUCAGGCAAGCAAAGCAGAUUUCAGAACUGGAGGAACAUUAAUGUACUAAAAUAGGACCGAGUCCUGAAACCCUAGCCUGGCCGGGGGAAAAAAUCUCCAUUGUCUUCAGUGGGAGCUGCCUGGCGUGACGUUACCGCAGUGCCGCUCCGUCAGCACGCAGUGGCAUGCAGCAGGGACGGACCCAGGCGCUGUGCAGCGCAGUGAGCACGCAGCCCCGCCGAGAGUCCACCACGCACAUCUCUGCUUUGCUUCAUCGCUUUGGUCCAAGCUCCUGAGCCAAUGUCUCUGUCCCCAUUCAGCUCCAGGCUUUCCGAAAGUGAGUUUGUGCCACCUUGCCCAGUGUGAUGUACUGACUGGUGCUCUGCUGCACUCAUUACGUGUCCUGGUGGUUUGCAGGACAGCACUGUGCAACUUAACAGGAUUUUUCCUCCUUUUGUUCUUUUCUCUUUUCUUCUUCUUCUUUUCUUUCUUUCUUUUUUUUUUAAGAAACAGCCACAGAAUAACAUUUAGACUUCUUUAUUGUGAUUCUGUUCAUUUUAAAGCCAAAUCAGCAUUUCCAAUCUGAUUGGUAAAAAACCACUCUGGAAAUAUUUUGAAAAAAAAAAAAUAGCGUUACUAUUGGGAUUCCUUACAGAAAAGGAUUUGCAGUGCCCAGGGAGUGGGCCAACCAUCUUCCUUCUCUGUAAAGCAAAAAGCAAAGACUUUUAAAGCUCAGUGUUAAUGGUGUUACAGUUCGGUACAGCCAGCAUCCGCUGACAGGUGUCAGGUCGUCAGAAAGGUGAAGUUACUUAAUUUAUCCGUUGUUGAAGUUGUUCAGUCUCCCCGUCGUAGGAUUCCUGGAAUUAAUUUGCGUCUGGCUUUU